UUUCAUUUCAUAGUGAGAGGAAGGAAGUUGACUAAAAAUAUAAAGAAGGUAUCACUCAGGCCUAUUUUAAAAGGUGCUCUCAAAAAGUGCUCCCAGUGG